AAAUUUUUUUUUUNUCUUGUGCAAUCUGCCCCUGACACUGGGAUAAACGCUGGAAACGGCGUCUAAUACCGGAUAUGAGCUACGGCCGCAUNGGCGGUAGUUGGAAAGAAUUUCGGUCAGGGAUGAGCUCGCGGCCUAUCAGCUUGUUGGUGAGGUAGUGGCGCACCAAGGCGGCGACGGGUAGCCGGCCUGAGAGGNUGACCGGCCGCACUGGGACUGAGACACGGCCCAGACUCCUACGGGAGGCAGCAGUGGGGAAUAUUGNUCAAUGGGNGCAAGCCUGAUGCAGCAACGCCGCGUGAGGGAUGACGGCCUUCGGGUUGUAAACCUCUUUUAUCGAGGAAGAAGCGAAAGUGACGGUACUCGCAGAAAAAGCGCCGGCUAACUACGUGCCAGCAGCCGCGGUAAUACUUAGGGCGCAGUCGUUAUCCGGAAUUAUUGUGCGUAGUAAGCUCGUAGGCGG
rnacentral:rRNA from 1 species